rnacentral:rRNA from 1 species
UACAGAGGGUGCGAGCGUUGUUCGGAAUUAUUGGGCGUAAAGGGCGCGUAGGCGGCGCGGUAAGUCACCUGUGAAAUCUCCUGGCUCAACUGGGAGCUUGCAGGCGAAACUGCCGUGCUGGAGUAUGGGAGAGGUGCGUGGAAUUCCCGGUGUAGCGGUGAAAUGCGCAGAUAUCAGGAGGAACACCGAUGGCGAAGGCAGGUCUCUGGGCCACUACUGACGCUGAGAAGCGAAAGCAUGGGGAGCGAACAGG